CCUGCUGCAGCCAAGGAAAUUCUAAAGCACGAAUUAUAGCAGUUACUCUUCACGUUUCAGCGAACAAGCACCAUUUUGAUAACUAUAAGAUAGAGUGUACUGAGACUGAGCCAAAAUCAACAGCUUCCCUGUGACGCUAACCAGCUUGAAAUGGAAAUAUGGUCUUCCUGCCUUUGCCACUGCAUAAUCCCAUUUUCAUAGUUGCUGGAUUCAUUAUUCCAUUCACCACGGGCUCUUGUGUUACCGGCAAAUGUCUCGUCUCAUUUAACUUCACUAUUGGAAGGAAUGUGGUGGAUGGUCACGCCCUGCUUGGUCACGUGUUUGCAAAUGUCUCAGUGACAGGAGUGAUGGACUGUCACAGAGCAUGUCAAUCAAACUGUCGUUGUCUCUCGUUCAAUUUCCUGACACAUUCCAGCCAGGACAACUGUCAGCUGAAUGAAGAAAACCGACAUCUAAAGCCUGGUGCUUUGAUUCCGAUGGAAGGCUUUCAGGCUUUCAUCUACAAUUCGGAGGCCUGUAGCCAGUGUUAUAACAGAUGUUGCAGGGUUCAGCCAUGUCUCAAUGGAGGAAUAUGUCAGGAAAAUUGUGACGUGACUGGAAGGCGAUUCUUGUGUCAUUGUCCUGCGCCUUUU